rnacentral:misc_RNA from 1 species
AUAUUUGAUAAAGUGACUGAUCCCUAAAGGAGCAGGCUACCCUUCGAUGGUGCGUUGAAGGCAGCCCUGUAUUGGGCUGAUUCAUCUCAGAGACAAGUUGAUUCAGUAUCUUCAAACCAAUGGCAUAGUGAUCUGAUGUUGCCUGACUCAAGAAGUUUGUAGACUCCUUAACCACUUCUCUAAAUCUAUCAUCAUCAAACCACCCGAACUUGGUAACUCUACACAACAGCUGGAUUAGAGAUGCGG